rnacentral:rRNA from 1 species
CCUACGGGGGGCAGCAGUCGAGAAUCUUCGGCAAUGGGCGCAAGCCUGACCGAGCGACGCCGCGUGCGGGAUGAAGGCCUUCGGGUUGUAAACCGCUGUCGAGGGGGAUAAAGUGCAAGUGGGUACUCCCAUUUGUUUGAUAGAUCCCUGGAGGAAGCAUGGGCUAAGUUCGUGCCAGCAGCCGCGGUAAGACGAACCAUGCAAACGUUAUUCGGAUUCACUGGGCUUAAAGGGUGCGUAGGUCGUGUGUGAAAGCCCUCAGCCCAACUGAGGAAUUGCGCUUGAUACUGCAUGACUUGAGAAUGAUAGAGGUGGGUGGAACUGAUGGUGGAGCGGUGAAAUGCGUUGAUAUCAUCAGGAACACCAGUGGCGAAGGCGACCCACUGGGUCAUUUCUGACGCUGAGGUACGAAAGCUAGGGUAGCGAACGGGAUUAGAUACCCCAGUAGUC